rnacentral:rRNA from 1 species
GUGGGGAAUAUUGGACAAUGGGGGCAACCCUGAUCCAGCCAUGCCGCGUGAAUGAUGAAGGCCUUCGGGUUGUAAAGUUCUUUUGGAGGGGACGAUGAUGACGGUACCCUCAGAAUAAGCUCCGGCUAACUUCGUGCCAGCAGCCGCGGUAAUACGAAGGGAGCUAGCGUUGUUCGGAAUUACUGGGCGUAAAGGGCGCGUAGGCGGUUUGGUUAGUCAGAUGUGAAAGCCCAGGGCUUAACCCUGGAACUGCGUUUGAUACUGCCAAGCUUGAAUUCGGGAGAGGUGAGUGGAAUUCCCAGUGUAGAGGUGAAAUUCGUAGAUAUUGGGAAGAACACCGGUGGCGAAGGCGGCUCACUGGACCGACAUUGACGCUGAGGCGCGAAAGCGUGGGGAGCAAACAGGAUUAGAAACCCGAGUAGUCC